UAAUACAGAGGCCUCGAGCGUUAGGCGGAAUCACUGGGCUUAAAGCGUGUGUAGGUGGAUGCCUAAGUACUUUGUGAAAUCCCACGGCUUAACCGUGGAAUUGCUUGGUAUACUGGGUGUCUUGAGCCACUCAGGGGCUACCGGAACAAACGGUGGAGCGGUGAAAUGCGUAGAUAUCGUUUGGAACGCCAAUGGUGAAAACAGGUAGCUGGGGGUGUGCUGACACUGAGACACGAAAGCCAGGGGAGCGAACGGGAUUAGAUACCCCGGUAGUCCUGGCCCUAAACGAUGUCCACUAGAUCGUGGCUCCUUGACGGGAGUCAUGGUCGAAGCAAAAGUGCUAAGUGGACCGCCUGGGAAGUACGGUCGCAAGGCUA
rnacentral:rRNA from 1 species